rnacentral:rRNA from 1 species
GACGAACGCUGGCGGCAUGCCUAACACAUGCAAGUCGAACGGAAAGGCCCUGCUUUGGUGGGGUGCUCGAGUGGCGAACGGGUGAGUAACACGUGAGUAACCUGCACUUGACUUUGGGAUAAGUUCAGGAAAGUGGGGCUAAUACCGGAUAGGAGCUCCUGCUGCAGGGUGGGCGUGGGAUCGUUUCGCCGGUUGGGAAUGGACUCGCGGUUUAUGAGCUUGUUGGUGGGGUAGUGGCUGACCAAGGAUUGGACGGGUAGCCGGCCUGAGAGGGUGACCGGCCACAUAGGGACUGAGAUACGGCCCGCACUGCCUCGGGCGGGAGCAGUGGGGAAUAUAGAACAAUGGGCGGAAGCCUGCUGGAGCAACGCCGCGUGCGGGAUGACGGCCUUCGGGUUGGAAACCGAUUUCGCCUGUGCCGAAGCGUGAGUGACGGUAAUGGAGAAUGAAGCACCGGCUAACUACGU